AGCAAGGGUGAUGUUUGCUCUCCUGUGCCGCGAGUCAAUUGCUGAAUAAAUAGUGUUGAAAGCCUGGAGAAAUUCAGAGACAAGUCUUCAAAAGGACAAUUUUAGGGGGUUACAAAUUGUAACCACAAAAUCUGCAUCCGUGUCUUGCAUCUGCAGAUAAUUGUAAACAUCUGGAGACCCAAGUGGGAGAGUGGGUGGGGAUGAGGGAGGUGGAAAGAGAUGGACACGCUCCCCUGGAAUGUCACCGAGGGGUGAAAGGUUGGAUGGUGCAGGGACGUGGCAUGGGAAGAGCCACCACCAUGGGUGCUCUGCAAAGUGCAGGGCAAAUGGGUGCCUGGGAGGAAAGAAGAACAACCCUUGAUGGAAGAAAGCAAUGAAGGGAAAUUACUGAAGUAAAAGAAGGAAAUGGUGUCCCCUGGAGCAGGAGCCACCUGCAGAUGCAGCCCCAGCCUGUGGUGGGCUCUCCCUGGCCAUAUGAAAGACAUCAUUCCUCCUCUGCCUUCAACCAGGAUUGAGUUACCCCUGGAGUAAUUCACUUACACUUAGCAAACGAUAAAUCCUCGUGCAGUUGGUCAAGAAAUCUGGGCUAAGAAGGUCUGGAAGUGGAUUAUUAAAUCCAAAUGGUGCUGCAGCCCGAGCCUGUCUCACUCACUUCGUAGCAAAAUUAACCAUCUUAGAGGGCCUGAUAAACUGCAGGGCUGCAAGAGCUGCUCCCCAGGCACACCUUAAAUAAAGUGAUUGCUUUUUCA